AUGGCACCUUCUGAGGAAGACACGUUUGAAGGGUUUUCAAGUGAUAAGGAGUCAAUGAUUGAAGAAGGAGACGGGAUGGAUGUGAAUAGAGGACCUAAGAGGGUUACUCAGGAGCAGGAAUCAGAUGAGGAACAGGAGAGGAAGAAGCUCCAGGAUAUACUUACUGCUUCCACAGAGGAGGAGUCGUUUUUGGGUUUCUGUGGGGAUGAUGGGUCUGAGAGUGAUGAAAAUGUGGAGGGCACAUCGGACUGGACUAGGGUACAAGAAAUAAGGGAUAUGUGUGCAGAGCCAACUUCUAGUGAUACGUUUGUGGGGUUUUCGGGACAGGAGGAUUGGCAAACAGCUGAUACACCAGGGUCAUGGGGAACAGCUGUGGGAGAUGAUGAUGGGGUGGAGGCCAGCUCAUCUUCAGAUAAUGAUGUGUAAGUUAAAAGUAGGGUCUGAAAUGAGGAUCCUUUGCAGAAGGCAAAGUGUCAUUUUGGCAUAGGUUUGUCACUGCCUGUUUUUCCUGUUGGGCUUUGGGUCCUGGCUCUACAGCUUGGCGUUCCUGUGAUUCUUGGAUUUGGACUGGGUUAUUGUGAGUGUGCUUUUCUCCCUUCCUGGACCUUUGGACUGGCAACUUCGGCUCUGUUUGAUGAUCUUCGGUAACGACGUUUGGAUGGGCUUUUCGUGGAUGCAGCUUUCUCCCUUCCUGGCUUUGGAUUUACUUGACUUCGGCUCCGGUUACCCACUUCGGAAAACUACCUUUGGAUUGGCUAUUGUGAGUGCGGCUUUCCCCUGUUCCUGGCUCCUGGUUUGACUCAACUGUGGCUUGUGUAAACACCUUGAAGACGACGUUAGUUUGGACCUUCUUUUCUGCUGUUUUCUGAGCUUUGACUAGUUUUGUUUACUUUCUGUGUGCAGAGCUGUCUUCCAGGAAGCCUGUUACAGCGCUGUUUGCUACGUUUUAAUCCGGAUUAUCCAUCCAUUUAAUUCGGAUUAUUUUCCGUUCUUCUUUUUGAGCCCAGUUUGGGCUAAAACUUUGAGUUUUGGUCAGAGACACUGCAAUUAAGUAUCUCUGAGCUUGUUUUUGAGUUGCAAUAAAUCUUUUGUUAAGACUGAGUAUUGUGUGUGUGGCUCUUUAAGGCACUUGUGUUCUGACAUUGGGUCUUGGACCAUACUCAUGAAAGAUAUCAGUAUAAACGUAUGAAAUUUCUUUUCCAUCAUGCCACGAGAUAUUCUCUGAGCACUGGCACUGCUUUGCACAGAGCUGUUGUCUCUUUCUGCA
rnacentral:lncRNA from 1 species